rnacentral:rRNA from 1 species
GACGAACGCUGGCGGCGUGCUUAACACAUGCAAGUCGAACGGAAAGGCCCUGCUUUUGUGGGGUGCUCGAUUGGCGAACGGGUGAGUAACACGUGAGUAACCUGCCCUUGACUUUGGGAUAACUUCAGGAAACUGGGGCUCAUACCGGAUAGGAGCUCCUGCUGCAUGGUGUGGGUUGGAAAGUUUCGGCGGUUGGGGAUGGACUCGCGGCUUAUCAGCUUGCUGGUGGGGUAGUGGCUUACCAAGGCUUUGACGGGUAGCCGGCCUGAGAGGGUGACCGGGCACAUUGGGACUGAGAUAGGGCCCAGACUCCUACGGGAGGCAGCAGUGGGGAAUAUUGCACAAUGGGCGGAAGCCUGAUGCAGCAACGCCGCGUGCGGGAUGACGGCCUUCGGGUUGUAAACCACUUUCGACUGUGACGAAGAGUGAGUGACGGUAAUGGGUAAAGAAGCAACGGCUAACUACGUG